rnacentral:rRNA from 1 species
GAUGAACGCUGGCGGCGUGCCUAAUACAUGCAAGUCGAGCGAACAGACGAGGAGCUUGCUCCUCUGACGUUAGCGGCGGACGGGUGAGUAACACGUGGAUAACCUACCUAUAAGACUGGGAUAACUUCGGGAAACCGGAGCUAAUACCGGAUAAUAUAUUGAACCGCAUGGUUCAAUAGUGAAAGACGGUUUUGCUGUCACUUAUAGAUGGAUACGCGCCGCAUUAGCUAGUUGGUAAGGUAACGGCUUACCAAGGCAACGAUGCGUAGCCGACCUGAGAGGGUGAUCGGCCACCCUGGAACUGAGACACGGUCCAGACUCCUACGAGAGGCAGCAGUAGGGAAUCUUCCGCAGUGGGCGGAAGCCUGACGGAGCAACGCCGCGUGAGUGAUGAAGAUCUUCGGAUCGUAAAACUCUGUUAUUAGGGAAGAACAAAUGUGUAAGUUACUAUGCACGUCUUGACGGUACCUAAUCAGAAAGCCACGGCUAACUACGUG